UACAGAGGGUGCGAGCGUUAAUCGGAAUUACUGGGCGUAAAGCGUGCGUAGACGGUAGCGUAAGUCAGAUGUGAAAGCCCCGGGCUCAACCUGGGAACUGCAUUUGAGACUGCUCUGCUCGGGUGCGGAAGAGGGAAGCGGAAUUUCCGGUGUAGCGGUGAAAUGCGUAGAUAUCAGGAGGAACACCGGUGGCGAAGGCGGGUCUCUGGGCCGUAACUGACGCUGAGGAGCGAAAGCAUGGGGAGCGAACAGG
rnacentral:rRNA from 1 species